rnacentral:rRNA from 1 species
GACGAACGCUGGCGGCGUGCUUAACACAUGCAAGUCGAACAGUGGCGAACGGGUGAGUAACACGUGAGUAACCUGCCCUCCACUUUGGGAUAACUCCGAGAAAGCGGGGCUAAUACUGGAUAGUGGGGGAUGGGCUCGCGGCCUAUCAGUUUGUUGGUGAGGUAGUGGUAACCAGUGCGUGACGGGUAGCCGGCCUGGGAGGGCGACCGGCCACACGGGGACUGAGACACGGCCCAGACUCGUACGGGAGGCAGCGGUGGGGAAUAUGGCACAAUGGGCGAGAGCCUGAUGCAGCGGCGUCGGGUGGGGGAGGACGGCUUUCGGGUUGUAAACCUCUUUCAGCAAGGAAGCGGUACUUGCAGAAGAAGCGCCGGCUAACUACGUGCCAGCAGCCGCGGUAAUUC